ACGAGGCUCUGAGAGGAGUAGGCCCGGAGAUGGGUACUGAGACACGGACCCAGGCCCUAUGGGGCGCAGCAGGCGAGAAAACUUUGCAAUGUGCGAAAGCACGACAAGGUUAAUCCGAUUGGUUUCUGCUAAAGAAACCUUUUGUCAGUCCUAGAAACACUAGCGAAUAAGGGGUGGGCAAGUUCUGGUGUCAGCCGCCGCGGUAAAACCAGCACCUCAAGUGGUCAGGAUGAUUAUUGGGCCUAAAGCAUCCGUAGCUCGUUUUGUAAGUUUUCGGUUAAAUCCAUGCGCUUAACGUAUGGGCUGCCGGGAAUUCUGCAUAACUAGGAAGUGGGAGAGGUAGACGGUACUCGGGAGGAAGGGGUAAAAUCCUUUGAUCUCUUGAUGACCACCUGUGGCGAAGGCGGUCUACCAGAACACGUACGACGGUGAGGGAUGAAAGCUGGGGGAGCAAACCGGAUUAGAUACCCGGGUAGUCCCAGCUGUAAACUAUGCAAACUCAGUGAUGCAUUGGCUUAUGGCCAAUGCAGUGCUGCAGGGAAGCCGUUAAGUUUGCCGCCUGGGAAGUACGUACGCAGGUAUGAAACUUAA
rnacentral:rRNA from 2 species